GGGAAUUUAAGCCAGAGCGGUUCGCGGAAGGGGUUUCCAAAGCAACAAAGAGUCAAGUCACGUUUCUGCCAUUCGGAUGGGGUCCUAGGAUCUGUAUUGGCCAAAAUUUUGCUUUGAUGGAAGCCAAAAUGGCGAUGGCUAUGAUUCUCCAACGCUUCUGGUUCGAGCUUUCCCCUUCCUAUGCUCACUCUCCUUACAGCAGGGCAACUCUUCGUCCACAGCAUGGUGCACAGAUAAUUUUACAUAAACUUGGCUGUAAUUGAAUUGUUAUGUAAACAAAUCUUUGUGAAAACAUAGCGUUUUAGUGUAUCGUCAAAGUCCGGUAUCUGUAAUGGUACAAAUUCGAUGAAUGAAUAGUAAAUUUUGAGAUGUUUGGUGAAGUCCGAAAUAAUAUGCAGAAAUUGAGCGUCUGUGGUGGACAUAGUUGAGGGACUAAUGUGGUAAUUAUCAAUCAAAUAAUUCGGUACAAAGACUUAUAUGGAAAUUAAAGCAGGGGGAGUUGAAAAUGACUACUCUGCUUUGGGCAUCAAUUUAGAAAGAUUUAAAGUUCAAAUGUGUUAUUAGUUAAGGGAUUUGUUUUAAAGAGGGAAUGACAAUUAAACCUCAUGGUUGAUUUGUGCAAGGAACCGAUGAUGGGAUGAUUAUUCUUAGUGGUAAAAAAAACCAUUAUGGAGGUUAUUACACUUGUUAUCAUCGGCUUAAAAUUCGAUUGGGUUCAGGUCGGAUUAUAUCGAGCUUGUAAGAUAGUUCACCGACCAAGUUUGCAUAAUAAAAUACCUAAAUGAAAAAAAUUUCUAUUUUAGAGGAACCAGAGCCCCUACCAACUCCCGGUUCAACCACUAAACAAUAGCCAUAUCAUAUAAAUAAAUACCACCAUCUAAAAGACUAAAAAAAAACACUUAACAAAGGAUAAAUAGAUAGAUGUUGGAUAAGUGUCCAAAAUAUGAUCUAAGUGAAGAUACGUGGGGUAGGUGUUACGGAAAUGUGAAGACAAGAAUCCCACUAACGUAUGGGAUGUGUACAGUUGAAUGUAGGAAGCUAGUAAAAAAAUUUUUUUGGGUCAUAUAAUUUGUUUAGCAUAUAUUUUUAUAAUUUUUAAAUAUCAUUUUGGAGUUGAAUUAUAAUUUUUUUAUAUAUUAUCUUAAAAUUUUAAGGAGUUAAAACAAAAUUAUUUUAUUUUCAGAUGGUCAAAGUAGAGGUGAUAAUGGGUUGGGCUAUUCGGCCCGGCCUGACGAUUCACCCGAAAAAUAGGAGGGUUUAGGUAAAAAUAUAGGCUCGAAAUAUGGAUUUGAGCAAAAAAAGAGGCCCGUUUAGAAAAUGGGCUAGGCCUCGAGUAAAAUUUUUUGGGCCCAGGCCUGACCUGAAUUAUAUAUUAAAUAUAUAUAUUUUAUUUUUAAUCAAAUAUACUUUUGUUUUAUUAUUAAUUUGGUUAUUAUUUUAGUUCUAAUUUGUUUCAAUUUUAAUAUAACCAGUUUUUAUUAUAUUUUCAAUUUGUGUAUUGUUUUAAGAAUUGUUUUAGUCUCAUUAUUUAUUUAUUUUUUGUUUUAAUAUUUGUUUUAAAAAUUUUUAUUUAAUGAAAUAAGCUAAAAAAAUUAAUAUGGGCUGGGCCAGGCCAGGCUCGGGCCUAGUAAUUUUCUUUUGGGCCGGACUUAGAUAAAUUUUUAAGUCCAUAUUUUGAAUUGGGUCCUAACCUAAAAAAUAGACCUAAAAUUUUAUAUGGGCCCAGCUUGAACCCGACUUGGCCCAUGAUUACCUUUAAGUCAGAGCUAUCCUCGUUUUGCAUUUCUUUGAGAUUCAGCCUUAUCUACUAUUGAUUGCCCUCUCAAUUGAGGUUUGAGUAGAAAGAUUUGGUGAAGCAAGCUAAGCUAUCAAUCAAGGUUUGCAUAAUUAUUUAAAUGUAAUUCUAAUAUUAAAAUAAUUUUUUUUAUUAAUAUAGUAUCAACAAGCAUUAAAUGUAAUGAUCAUAUACUAUUACAUUUUCAAGAAGAGAAAACAUGUUUGAACUUUAAAAACGACGUUACUAAAAACAUUAUCACAAAUCUUGAAAUAUAAAAAAUAUUUUUUUAAAUAUAAUAAAAAAUUAAUUUUAAACCUGAGCUGAAUAAAAUUCUAAUUUUAGUUAAUGAUACCAACAACAAAUCAAUAUUCUAAGCCCGAGCCCGGCUCAUUUUUUUAAUAAACACCAAAAAUUUAUUUUGAAAAUAAAAAAAGUAUUUUAAAAAAAUUUUAAAAUUAAAAGAAUAAAAAUAUAUAUUUAUUAUAUAUUCAGGCCGGGCCGGGCCGGCCCCGGGCCAAAAAAGUGGUGCUCGAGACCCGACCCAUUGUCUAAAUGGGCCUCAUUUUUGCCCAAACCCAUAUUUCGGGCUUAUAUUUUUACCCGAACCUCUCAUAUUUUGGACGGAUCGUCGGGCCGGACCAGGCCGCCCGACCAUGAACACCUCUAGGGCAAAGUCACUCAAUGAAUGCAUGGAAAGAAAGAAUGCAACUUGGUGACAGCUUUUGUUGGAGUUAUAUGCUUUUUUUUACAUAGUGGAACUUUCUGUGGAUUUUCAAGUUUCAUGAACUUUAUACCCUAUGCUUUACGUGAAAAAAAUCAUUGGACUUAAAAGUCUACCAAAAGUUUCACUAUAAUAAAUAAAUAAAUAAAUAAAUAACAUUGCUACAAGACUACAACAUAAAGUUACAAUAAGAGCUUAUAACUCAACAAAGGCUAUCAAUAAAUAAUCUCAAGCAAGCUAAAGAGAAAUGUUGAGAGUACCACUCAAAUAGUGAUUGACUUUAAAAAUUAAAAACCCGAAGUUAUAAUAUCCCAAACGAAAUCAAACCAUAAACAUUAAAUUUUUCGAGUCUACUAGAUACUGUAAAAAAUUCAGCUCCAACGGACACCAAAUGAACCUAUGAUUGAAGAAAAUACGAAAACUAGUCUGGCUAAAUCAAUCUGCCAAACUUACUUUUUAUCUUAUCUUUAAUUUGCUGUGAAAUUCAAAACUACGUGUAAUACCCAAUUUAUGCCCGGCCCAUUUUGUUAAACCAAAUAAAAAAGAAAAGAAAAACAAAAUAUUUAAAUUUAGCCCAAAUGUCCAUUUACACAGCCCAAUUACAAUUGCAAAUAAAAAAAAACUAAAACUAAACCCGAUCCUAAGCAUCAGCCCAAAUUCGACCCAUGCCCAAAACGAAUUCAGAUGCAGAAACCCUAGCCCAGCCUCAACGCAAGAAAAAGUCGGAAGCCCUAAUGGUUGGUGCGCCGCUCCUGUAACAGCCCGAUUUUGGGUCUAGUCGGAACAGUGGUUUUGGGACCACAAAUCCGACGAGAAAAAAAUGUAAUGGCCUGAAUUUUCAGAGGUGUCGGAAUGGUGAUUCGAGAUCACUAAAUUCGAAAAAUGGGUAGAAAAUAUUAUUAAUUUAGUGAGUAUAAGUUAAAUGUGAAGUUAGGAAAAUUUUUGAAAUAGUGAAUAGUACACUAGAAAUAAAUAUUAAAAUAAUUAGAAUCGAAAAUGAGGUAUCGAGACCUCGGGGAUUUUAAACCUAGCCAUAAAUAUUUAUGUAGUGUUAAAAAGUUAGUAUUAAAGUUUCGUUAAGAAAUUUUAAAGUUCCGAUAAUUAAUUGAACAAAAAGGACUAAAUUGUAACAAAUACAAAAUUAUGAGAAAUGAUUAAAUAGCUUAAAUGAUAAAAGGAAGAGGGCUUAAAAGGCAAAUAGACCCAAGGGCUAUUUGGGCUGGACGGCAAAGGCAUGAAAUCAGCAACAAAGUAAGGAGAAUUAAGGGCAAAAUUGGAAUAUUGCAAAAUUUACUUAAUAAAGUUAGGACCAAAGUGGAAUUAUCUAGAUUUCUCUUUAUUUUUCUGCAUUCUCAUUAGCAAAAACACCAUAGAAGGGUUUCCUUAAGCCGGUUCUUCCUAUUUUUACUGCAGAUAAGUUCAAUUCUUGAUUAUUUCUUGAAAAUUUUGUGUUUUUGUGACUUUUACAACUAGGCCCACUUAUUGUAUUCAUUAGUUUUUGAUUCUAUGAAAGAAUUUGAAAGUUGCUAUGAAUACAUGCUGGAAGUAUAUGAUGAUUUAGCAUGGAAUUAGAGCUUUAAAUUGUUCAUAUGCUGAUUUUAUUGAAAGAAUUGAAUAGAAAGUGAAUGUUUGGGACCUAAUAGUAAAAGAGUUUGAAGAUAGAGUUAUAUGUGGAAAUUCUGAGUUUCAAUAGUUGUGAAACAACUUAUAAUGUCUAGGUAAAUUAUUAAUUGAGAAAAUUAAAUUAAUUGAGGGGUUAAUUGAGAAAGGACCGAAUUGUAUAAACUGUGAAAUUUGGGGCAAAAAGGAAAUCAACAUUUUGCACUAAAGCAGUUUUGGACAGCAGCAGUAGUAUAAAUUUGAAAAAUCACCAAAAAUUUUGGGAAUUGAAUUAGAGGGUGAAUAAAAUAUGAAAUUAAAGCUUAUUGAGUCUAGUUUCUUAUAAAGGAAACGGUGUAAGCAAUGGAAUUGUAAAUCAUGAGAUAUAAUAAAUUUUGCGAGACAAUGUCAGAAUGAUUUCGGGUUCCCCUAUUCUGACUUUGGAAAAUCAUUAAAAAUUGAAAAAAAAUUAUGAGUUAUAAUUUAUAUGAUUAGAAUCCUUAAUGAGUCUAUUUUCAAAAUAAAUAAAUGGAAACGUCAUAAAAAUUCUGUACAAUUAGAUAAUUCAUUUUUAGUGAAGAGUGGUCGGAACUGUCAGACAGCAAAACAGGGGAAACUUUAAAGAAUAAAAUGUACUAUUUGGCUGAACCAAAAAUUCUGAAAAUUGUAUGGUAAGAAGGUAUGUGAGUCUAGUUUCAGGGAAAAUUAAGGGAUCUUAAUUUAGAGCUCUGUAGCUCCAGAUAAAAAUAAUUUAGUGACUCUAACUCGGAUAAACAGCUUUGAAUAUACAUGUGAGUGAAUAGUGAAAUUAUAGCUAGUGUUGUUUAAGUGUGUUAUACACAAUAAGGAUGUGGAAUGGAGAGGAGGAGGAGGAGGAAAAAUUGGGAAAUAUAUGAAUGAUUUGUGUAUAAUUGGUCAUAUGCUUAAUUAUAAUUGAUAAACGAUGAAAUAGAAAUGAUGCAUAUAUUUGUGCAGUAUUGGUCAUGGUUUAAGCUCAUGUGGCAAAAUAAAGUUUAUAGUACGGGUGUAUUGUAUUUUUGGUAUAUGAUUUGGCAUUAAGUAAUGUCGUGAAUGGGUAUUGAAUUAACACAUGUUGGAAAGUUUGAUUCAGCACGCGUCGAGCCUCCGCGCCAAAACCACGUGAGCCUUCGUACACUCCAACUGGCCUCCGUACCUGCAACAAACAAAAGUAGACAAAACAACAGCAAAUGAUAGGAAGAAAAGGUAGUAAAUAGUGAAGAUUUUUCUGUAAUUUUCUUUGGAUUUCAUUCUGUAUUUUCGGCUAUAAAAGAGCCAUUAGGAAUAUUUGUAAAGGAGUUUUUUUUUUACCCUCACACACAAAGAGAAUAUACACGCAUACAAGAUCAAUAUAGAGAAAAAAAUAAAAAAAAAUACAAAGAAUAGAAAAUCAAGUUUCGAAGGUGAUUCUUUGAAAAAUCCUUUUCGUUUUUCUCCUUUUUCCUUUUUCCUGGAUCUUUUGUUCAUUUCAAGUAAAAAAAGUAUAAAAAGGAAACAAGUUUAGAGGAAGGAGGUUUACCUGGACGCCGGACCUCGCUCGCCUCGUCGAAAUCGAAGGCUGAGAGGGGAUAAAUCGGUUUUGCGACGGAAGGAAAGGGGGCUAGGGUUCUUCUUUUAAUUUUAAAAAAAAAAUAGAAAAUGUUGCUAAUUAGGUUUUAAUGGGGGGAUUUAUGUGUGUUAAAAAAACGACGUCGUUUAGCGACCUUUGACCCGCGCGGUGACCCGACCCGAGGAAAGGAUCCGCGCGUUUUGGGUCUGAUGGGUUUAUUGCGCAACAAGCCCUUCCGCAUUUGUUUUUCGUUUCAAUCCGGUUUUUAUUUGUUUUUUAAUUGCUCUCUCAUAUUUAGUUCCAAUUUCAAUUGGGUCCAUGAUUAAACGACAUCGUUUUCAUUGAUUGGGUUUGAAGGCCUAGUUUUGUGCGUCUAAAUUGCAGCAAUGGUCCCCCUGAUGUGCAAUGGUUCUCGAUUUAGUCGUCUCCACACUUAUUUCAAAGUCGUCCCUGAGAUUUUGUUUUAUUUUUGAAAUUUUCCUUGUCUUCUUUUAAUUUAUAAUGCUAUUAUUAUUAUUAUUAUUAUUGUUGUUGUUGUUGUUGUUAUUAUUACUAUUAAUAUAGGUAUUGUUAUCGUGUUAGUUUAUAUCUAUUUAUUUACUUUUAUUUUAUUAUGUAUUAUUAUAUAAUGCUUUUAUCAUGUAUCAUUUUAUAUAUUUUCUAUGUUAAUCUAAUAUGAUAUAUAUAUAUAUAUAUGUAUUUUUGUGAUCUUAUUUUAUAAUACUUUUUUAACCCAUUUAUAUGCCUUUAUGUUUUAAAGAUUUAUAAUAUUUUGAGCAAAACUAUUAUAUAUAUAGAUAUACAAUUUAUAUUAGACCAUUUUUAUCGUACAUAUACGUAUAUAUAAUUUAUAUUUUGAAACCCUAUUUUAUUAUAUUUUAUGCCUCUAUAUACAUCAUUAUAUGUUUAUUAUUCUUUAUAUUAAACCUGUCAUUUCACUUAUAUAUUUUUAAAACCAAUAUGUAUUAUUCUUUCUUCCUUGUUAUUUUUUAUCUCUUAAAAUAGAUUGAUAAUUCAUUUAAUUUUUGAAUGUUGUAUGACCGAGAUUAUCGUUGCCAUUCUUGUUCAAAUUUAUCCAUUGCUUGUUCAUAUUAUUUGAUAAUUUAUCGCUCACUAGCAUGUACCGUAAUUUACGAAUUAUCAAUUUGAAUUAUGUACUACCAUUCAAUCGCAUUACAUUUGUUUGGAAAACAUCGAAAUCGUUUUGCACAUAAACCUUCAAAAUGCUCGGUAUCCAAAAUUCUCGAGAGGAUUGUGUCCUAACUUACUAGGCUUCAAUUCUCCUUCUUGAUUUUAAAUAACCGAAUACCCCUUUUUCAAUUUGAACAUAGAAAUUCCAAAAUAAAAAAAAACUCAUUCUCGGGAAUUUGAUGCGUUGUGUCCUAACGUAUUGGAUAUGACAUAUUUUUCUCGAGACGAGGAUUUUUCUAACAAAUAAAAAUAAAGACAAUAUUUGAUAUUUAGGAAUUUUGUGAAAUCGAAGCCUAACUUACUGGGUUUUGAUUUUUUCAUUUGACCCAAGUCGGAUAUCCUUCUCAAAUGCAUAGAUUUUAAAAAAUCAAAAGAUAAACUUAAUUUCGAGGAUUUAAAAUGUUACACUCUAACUUACUAAGUGUGUCAAUUUAUUUCUUUGAAAUAAGUGAGUUUCAUCAUCCAAUUUAUUUUAUUCAAAUAUUCUUUUCCAAGGAUCGUAUUUUAAAAUCUUUUCAAAAUUUCGACAUUAAGACAUUAAACAAUCAAUUCGGUACCAAUUUUGGGCGUCACGAGGGUGCUAACCCUUCCUCGUGCGUAAUCGACUCUCGAACUUGUUUUCUCAAAAUUCGCAGACCUAAAAUUAUUUUCAAGGUGAUCCGAUUACACCACAAUAAAAUAUCGGUGGUGACUCCCAUUCCUAUUUUAAAAGUCGAUUCCCGUUUUUCAAAUAUAAAAAAAUGGUUUCGACACUACGGUUUUGUUUGUUUCACUUAGAACAACUUUCAAAAAGUUAAUUUUGAAAAAUGGAUUGAAUUUUCAAAAUAGAUGAUAUUUUAUUGUGUUAAAAUUUUAUUCGUUGUUUGAAAAAAAAAUUUAAAUCAUUUUCUUAGAAUUAUUUUUAGUGAAACAAAUAUAUCAUAAAUAUAUUUGUUAUAAAAUAUUAUAUUAAUAAUUUUUUUGACAAUUAAAAUAUAUUUUGUGAUAAGGUAAUAUUUUAUAAUAAUUAAUAUCAUAUAUACUUAAUAAUAAAUCAUGUCUAAUUAAAAUUUAAUUUCAAUUAAAUAUAUUAAUAAAGCUACAUUUAAUCAUAUUUUAUAUAAUUAAAAUAUUAAUAUAAAUAUUUUUCAAUAAUAUAUUAAAGAAUAUUUAAAAUUUAAAUUUAUUAUUACUAAGAUUAAUUAUUAAAAUAAAAAUGUACUAUUAAAUAAUUUAUCCAAUGAUAAGUUAUAUUGAUAAUUUAUUAUAUUAUUAAAUAUAAAUAAUUCAAUAUGUAUGUUUAAUAAUAUUAUGUUAUAAUAUUUAUUACUAAUAUUUUAAUAUUUUUAAACAACCAUAUUUUAAAGAUGGUGGUGAUGGUGAUGGUGCAGGCCCCCUUGUUACAAUUACAAUAUUUUUAAGUGGGAUGCAUGUAAUAUAUUGUUAGGGUUUUAGAGUGUGUCGUCUUUAAAAGGGUUAAAUUAUAUAUUUAUAUAAUAUGAUUAUUGUUUAUAAACAUAAUAUUGUAGAUAAGUUUAUAUGUAUGUCAAUAUGUAUCCUACUCUAGGGUUAAUAUGUAUUUUUUAGAUGUGGGUUCACCUAUAUAAUAGUAUGAAUCCAUCAUGCGGUCUCAUGAAAUAUACAAACACAUAUCGUGCUAACACAAAGUACGAACAAUAAAAAGUACAAAUCAAGACCCAAUUGAAUAAUUAAAUAACGGAUAGGUAAUAAUGAAUAUCAUAACAUUCACUAUCCCCUCUUUUCCAGUGAGUUAUUGUUUAUGAUAAAUUUGCAACAAAUGUUUUUAUCAUUAUUUUGUUGGUAAAUGAUAAUAAGCUUAAACUUUACUUUCUUAAGCUCCUUCAAUUCUUUGGACGUUAGCGAGUAAACUUGAGCUUCAGCAUUCCACAAACACCUUAAUUUGAAGACACAGUUCUCUCAUACUAAAAACGACAUGGACGUUUACCUUGUAAUUAGAGAUUUGGGCUCAUUGUUGGGUUAUUAAUGAUACAGGGAUGGAGAGCUUUAAACUGGGUAUGGCUGGCCCCAAAGAGGCUCGAAAGGUGCUUGAGACUAGAGGUGAUCAAGGGCCGGGUUAGGCCCGGUCUAGAAAAAAAUUUAGGCCCAUUUUUUAGGCCUGAAUUCGGCUCGGCUCAAAAUAUGAGCUUAAAAAUUUGUCUAAAUUCGGUCCGAAAGAAAAUUGUUAAGCCCAAGCCUGACCCAUAUUAAAUUUUACAACACCAAAAAAGUAUAUUUAAAUAAAAAUAAAAAAUAUAUAUUUAAUAUAUAAUUCGGGCCGGGCAGAACUCUGGCAAAAAAAAUUUUACUCGGGGCUGGUCUGUUUUCUAAACAGACUUCGUUUUUUUGCCAAAAUCUAUAUUUUAGGCAUAUAUUUUUACCCGAAUCUUCCUAUAUUUUGGGGUGAGCCGUCGGGCCAGACUGGGUAGCCGAACCAAUGAUCACCUCUACUUGAGACAACAGGGUUUUGCAGGGAAUUCUUACAGGUUCGUUUCUGGUGACAUAAAAGAGCUCUUCACUAUAAGCAUACAAACAAGAGCCAAAACUAUGCCUCUUAGUGAUGAUAUUGGGCCUUAUGUUGUUCCUUUUCAACAUCAAACCGUCAACCAGUAUGGUAUGUUUUUUUAUUUAAUCUGCAAUUUAUGAUAAUUCUUUGUUAUUUAUGUAUGGAAUUUAUUGGGAGGAAAUGCUGGAAAGAAUUCAUUUACAAGAAUUGGUCCAAGAUCAAGGGUGAACAUUACGGACCCUGAAAAAUAAGAGAAAUACUUAACAAAUUUAAUGACUUCCAGAAGGUACGUACCAAUCCACUGCUUAAUUUGCUUGUAAGCGGCCUCGUUAACCUCGAAGGAGACCGAUGGAGCAAGCAUAGAAAAAUCAUAACCCUUGCAUUUCAUCAAGAUAAGUUGAAGGUAUAGAAUAGUAAUGGGUACUCAAGACUUUAAAGAAAACAUCAUACUUAAGCCUAUGCUUUUCUGAUUUAGACAUAAUUGGAUGCAGAAUAUGUUGCCAGCAUUUUAUCAAAGUUGUAGUGACAUGUUUAAGCAAAUGGGAGAAGAUGGUGUGUACAGAAGGAUACAUUGAGUUAGAUGUGUGGCCUUAUCUCGUAGAUUUGACAAGAGAUGUGAUUUCCCGAUCUGCUUUUGGAAGCAGCUUCGAAGAAGGCAAACGAAUUUUCCAAUUACUAGAGGACCAACUCGUUGUUACAAUCAAAUUAAUACAAACUGUUUACAUUCCAGGAUGGAGGUAACCGUCUACUUAAUUUACUUGAAAAAGGUUGCAAAUGUUGGAAUUGGCUAAAUUCGUGUUUGUUUUCUUGAAGGUUUUUGCCCACAAAGACAAACAGGGAGGUGAAGAUGAAACACAAAGACAUAAAAGAGUCGCUCAGGGAAAUGAUAAAAAGAAGAGAGCAGGCAAUUAAAGCAGGGGAAGAGAGUAAUGAGGACUUGUUGGACAUACUUGUGGAAUCCAAUAUCAGAGAAAUGGAAGCAAAGAAUAUGGGGAUGAGCAUUGAGGAUGUGAUUGAGGAAUGCAAGCUGUUUUACUUUGCUGGCCAGGAGACCACUUCGGUCUUACUCGUGUGGACUAUGGUUUUAUUAGCAAGGUAUCCCGAUUGGCAAAGUAAAGCAAGAGAGGAGGUUUUGCAUGUUUUGGGUGACAGUAAACCUGAUGCUGAUGGCCUUAAUCGUCUCAAAGUUGUAAGUCCCUAUCAUGUCUCUUGAAGGCCCGAUCUCUGAGGUCGACAACUCAAAAACUUGGUUCUUUGUUUCGCUAAUUCUACAGUUAACAAUGAUAUUGUACGAGGUUCUAAGGCUGUACCCACCAGUGAUUGAGCUAGGACGUUCCGUUCCAAAAGAAAUAAAACUGGGAAAUUUGUUGUUACCAGCAGGAACAGACGUUUCGGUUCCAAUCCUGCAGAUCCACCAUGACAAAGAUCUUUGGGGCGACACCGCACGGGAAUUUAAGCCACAGCGGUUCACGGAAGGGGUUUCCUAAGCAACAAAGAGUCAAGUCACGUUUCUGCCAUUCGGAUGGGGUCCUAGGAUCUGCAUUGGCCAAAACUUUGCCAUGAUGGAAGCUAAAAUGGCGAUGGCUAUGAUUCUCCAACGCUUCUGGUUUGAGCUUUCCCCUUCCUAUGCUUACUCUCCUUACAACAUGGCAACUCUUCGUCCACAGCAUGGUGCACAGAUAAUUUUACAUAAACUUGGCUGUAAUUAAAUUGUUAUGUAAGCAAAUCUUUGUGAAAAUAUAGUGUUUUAGUGUAUCGUCAAAGUCUGUCUGUAAUGGUACAAUUCCGAUGCAUGAAUAGUAAAUUUUGAGAUGUUUGGUGAAGUCCGAAAUAAUAUGCAGAAAUUGAGUGUCUAUGGUGGACAUAGUUGAGGGACUAAUGUGGUAAUUAUCAAUCAAAUAAUUCGGUACAAAGACUUAUAUGGAAAUUAAAGCAGGGGGAGUUGAAAAUGACUACUCUGCUUUGGGCAUCAAUUUAGAAAGAUUUAAAGUACAAAUGUGUUAUUAGUUAAGGGAUUUGUUUUAAAGAGGGAAUGACAAUUAAACCUCAUGGUUGAUUUGUGGAAGGGAACCAAUGAUGGGAUGAUUACUCUUAGUGGUGAAAAAAAAACUAUUAAGGUGGUUAUUAUAGUUGUUAUCACCAGCCUAAAAUUUGAAUAGGUUCAGGUCGGAUUAUAUUGAGCAUGCAAGAUUAGUUCACGGACCAAACUUGUAUGAUAAUAGGUAUUCACAAAAAGAUAUCUAUAGUUUCCAACAAAGUCACAUGUGAGAUCGUGCAUUAGAACCGCAUAAACAUGUUUUAUGUUUAGAAUAUGAUAUGUGUCUAUGUGUAUAGAAUCUACCUAAUAUAUCAUAUUAAUGAAUAGUAUCAAUUGCGGAGCCAAAAAAUUAUUUGUGAGGGGUCAGAAUUAAAUUGUAUAUUUUUACAAAAAUAAAAAUUAAAUUUCACUAUUUUAAUAGUUUAUUUAUUUUUAAUUUUUAAAUGAUUAAAUUAAAUUUUAUAAAUUUUUAGGAUCAAAGUAUAAUUUUAUCAUUACUAAUUUAAAAUUUUAUAAAUUAUAAAAAGUUUAUAUGAAAAGUUUUCUAUUUUAGGGUGGCCAAAGCCCCUGCCAACUUCUGACUCGAUCACUUGCGGUUAGUUGGGUAAAGACUCAAGAAAAAUAGCGGUGUGUUUGGAUGGACAGUGUGUUUACUUGCGGUUAGUGUAAAAAUAGCAGUGGCGGUGAGAUUAGAUACUAUAGCAACACUGUAGCGUGAGACAAAAAGUAAGUUAAACGCACUGCACUGCACUUAAUCGUCUAUCUAAACUCACCAUAAGUGUCUAAAAUAUGAUUUAAGUGAAGAUACGUGGGGUAGGUGUCAUGGAAAUGUAAAAAAAAAAGAAUCCCACUAAUGUAUGGGAUGUGUACAAUUGAAUGCAGGAGUGAAUCAUUUGGGUAACAUUUGGACAAGAAACAUAAUGAACAAAAUGAAAGGAGAGGAAGCUAGUAAUAAAAGAUUCUUUUGGGUUAUAUAAUUUGUUUGGCAUAUAUUUUUAUAAUAUUUAAAUAUCAUUUUGGAGUUGUUGAAUUAUAAUUUCUUUUUAUGUUUUAAAACAUAGUUAUUCUAUUUUUAGAGGUCAGAGUAGAGGUGAGCAUGAGUCGGGCUACUCGGCUCGGGCCGAAGGCUUGCGCAAAAUGUGAGAGAUUUGGGUAAAAAUAUAGGCCCGAAAAAUGAGUUUAGACAAAAAAAAUAUAAGGCCCGUUGAAAAAACAGGCUAGGCCUUGGGUAAGGCAUUUUGGCCCCAGACCCGGCCCAACCCAAAUUCACUAAGGGCACGUUUGGUUCGCUGUAUUGGAAUAGAGGCGUAAUGUAAUAGAUGCGUAAUGGAAUAGAGACGUAAUAGCAAAUCAAUUGUUUGGUUGAAUGUAAUGGAAUAGAGGCGUAAUAGUAUUCUUAUAUUUGGUUGAAUGGAAUAGAGGUGUAACAGCAUAAGGAAAAAAGUUAAAAUGACUAGAAUACCCUUAGCAGAAAUUUGUUUAGAUAAAUGAUUAUUGUUAUUGUUAUUAAAUUUUAAUAAGAUUAUUAAUAUCAGUAAUAAAUAAUUUAAUCAUAUUUUAACAUAAUUAUUAUUAAAUAUAAUUUAAUAAAAAUAUAUAAUUUAAUAAAAUUCUUAAUAUUAAAUAAAAUUCUUAAUAUUAAAUAUUCUUAAUAUUAAAUUACUAAAAUCAUAAUAUAUAAUACUAUAAAAUAUAAUUUAAAUAAUUAUUAUUAAAUAUAAUUUAAUAAAAAUAUAUAAUUUAAUAAAAUUCUCAAUAUUAAAUAUAUUCUUAUAUGAAUUUACUAAAAUCAUAAUAUAUAAUACUAUAAAAUAUAAUUUAAAAUAAUUAUUAUUAAAUAUAAUUUAAUAAAAAAUAUAUAAUUUAAUCUAAAGUUUGAAUGUGUAUUUACCUAGCAAAAAUCAAUGAACUCUCGUGUAACUAUAACCUUAAUAAUAUAUGAUGUAUAAUUAAUAUUUCGUGACUAAUUAAUAGCAUAGAGAUAAAUACAGUAAUGACGAAUUUAUAGUAUACGAUUAAAAUGCUAAUAAUUUAUAGUAUACAAUUAAAAUAUUAUAAAUAAAAUAAUAGUAAAUGAUAUAUAAGAUAAAUUAACAUAUAAAUAAUUCAGAUAUGUAAAGAAUAUGGCUGAAUAUGGUUGCUCCAAUAAUAAAGGAUAUAUAAUAUAUCAUGGUGUUGUUUUGUUUAGAUAGUUCGGUAACUUAGGAGGGUAUGUAUGAAGAACACAAGUUGAUGCAGAUAGAAAGACGACAAUAUUACAUGAUUACAAUAUGAUAUAGUAUAUAUAUAUAAUUUAUGGAUUCCUUGCAAUCACGUGGCUUCUCUAGCCAUUUUAUUUAGCAUAUCCAGUGAUAUUAAGAUCCAGAAUUAUAAUACAACUAAAAUCUGUGCACACUUAUGGAUGAUCCAACAAAGCCUCAGUUGGCUUUAGGUUCCAAAUCUUGCAACCCACAAACCAUAUUUGCUGGCACUGCAACAUCAAUCAUCUUAGGAUAUGCCAAGUUAAGAUCUGUUGCACCAACAAAAACAGAGGAGAAAUUAGAAGGCGAUCCGAAAAAACCCAAGGAUGCUUUUUCUUUUCUUUUUUUUUAUAAUCUUUAUAGACUAGUUAUAUUGAGCAUCAACUUACUUUCCAUGAUGUUUUUGAAAGUCUCUUACAAAAAGGGUAUUCAACAAAUAAUAUAAUCAGACAUAUUGAUAGGACAAAUUGAAACUAGUAUUCUAUGAUCAUAAUAAAGAGUAAUCUUUAAUCAAAUGCGUGAAGGUAUUGAGAUGUCAUGCUUUUUCAUGAUUUCCUGUUUUACCAUGGCGAUGUUCAUUGGAAUAGUCCCAUCCAAGAGAAUCAAACCAAUGCUCAGCAAGAAAUGUUCAAUGCAUAUGUAAUUUUAAUUACAGAAGUUAUAUGCAGCUUAUAUGAGUUCAAGAUCAUAAAAGACUUCAUGGACAAAAGGAAACCCUUUCUUAUCACUGAAAUGAAAAUAGGCACUCUUAAUUUUCUAUUGUCAAAAGUAGCAAGCCAUUUUCCAAAGAAAAGGGAAGAUGGAUGGUUCCAGAAAGAAUACCUCAUCCUUUGUCAAGUGUGGAUUAUAUAGCAUCUCCUCUCCCACAGUGGUUACCNNNNNNNNNNNNNNNNNNNNNNNNNNNNNNNNNNNNNNNNNNNNNNNNNNNNNNNNNNNNNNNNNNNNNNNNNNNNNNNNNNNNNNNNNNNNNNNNNNNNAAAUCGAGCAAUCAUUUAUAUAUGUAAGAAAUGAUAGGAAUAAAGUUUUAUAUCUUACUGAGAAUCCUUUGUAGUCAUGAGUUGGAUAUAGCAAUGUCUCUUUCGGUAAUGUAAAAAUCUGGAUCCAUGAAACAAAUAAGUCCAUAAAUUUUAUUCAAAUUUUGACAAUUACAAUAAAAUUUUGAGAACUCAAAGAAUGUGACCAUAAAAAGUCCCCUGUCCUUACCUGUGAAUGCACUGACUUGUAGAGUUGCUGUGAACUUCCACCCUGCAAAAUGCAUUAAUCAGUGCUAGUCAAUGGCUACUGAAUGUGGGAGCAUUAGAGAAAAUUAUCUUAAAAACUUAAGUAUAACAAAAUUAGACAAUGACAUCCAGAUGGAAAGAAAUUGCCAGCAUAUAAGACCAGCAUUUAUGUACUCACGACUGAAAAUCCUUUGCAAAAAGUAUAGCCCUGAUAGUUCAAACUUUUACUUCAAGGAUGAUUUAAUUACUGAUUAGUUUACCAUGAGGCUUGUGAAUGACAAACACUUUAUGUGCAACCACAGUAACAAGGUAAGCACCAAUAAGUAGAAAACUAGACGAAUAGGUAACCAAGAGUUAGAGCUAAAACAGACAAACAGAGCUACUAUCCAAUGAGCUAAAACAUACAAACAGAGGUAUAUUUUAACAAUGAAAAUAAUCGAUUGCCUUAAACACCAUAUAGUGUUCCAAUCAAUCAAAUUAUAGCAGGCAUUAAAACCUUUCCCUUUCGUUAAUUCACAACUAUUAGCUUCAUUAAUCAAAUCCUAUGUACAGUUGAUCGAUUGAAAGUGUAACAUUUCAAAGACGAAAUUUAAACACAAAACUGGUUAACAUUGAAAUUACAUGUAAAUAUAACCUAAAAAACCAAAAAAUUAAUCAUAUUUUCAGAUUUCAGGCCGAAAUGGAAUGAAAUGAAAGGUAAAUCCAUUUUUUCCUCAAAAAAACAAAAAUAAAGAAAUAAUAUUUCAAGAACAGAUCAUUAAAUUCAUGGUAUAUAUAAAGAAAUUUAAUUGAAAUCAAAGGAAUAGAAGAAGGGAAAAGCGUACUUGGAACCAUUGCUGCUACUCUCUGUUACUCUGUUACCUCAUACGAUUCGUUAAAGGGUUGUUAGGGUUUGUUAAAGGGUUGGUCAGGAUAGAAGCAUGAAAAGGAGGGAGAAGGUUGGAAGGAAAUGGGAAGAAAAAUGAAAAAAAGAAGAAGAUGCUGCAACGGCUUGGAGGGUAAAAGAGGACCGAUUAGGUAAUCCUUUCUUUUCGAAGGGAUUACAAAUCGGCGCUGCAUAAGGGAAAAUGGGGAAUCGGUGCGCUGCGUAAUAGGCCCGUAUUAAGGCAAUACAGCCAACCAAACAGGGUAAUCAGUGGGGCCACGGAUUAGGGGUGUAUUGGCUAAUCCAAUACACCCAACCAAACAUGCUCUAAAGGACAAAAAAAUUUGAUUUUUUAAAUAUUAUUUUCUCUCUAUUUUGCUAUCAUUUUACUAUUAUGUUGCUACUAUGUUAUUGUUAUUUUUGGAUAUUGUAUAAAACUUAUUUUAUUGUUAAUUUUGUUAUUAUUUUAAAGACAUUUGUUAAUUUUGUUAUUAUUUUAGAGACAUUUGCUUGUUAAGUUGCAUCUAUCUUAGUGUUAUUUAAGUAUACAUAUUUUUUAAAAUUUAUUUUCAAUUUAUUGGGAAAUAUUUAUUUUGAUGUUUUUAGUAUUUUGGGUGUAUUAUAUAUAUUAAAAUUAUAUAAAAAUUAAUAUGGCCGAGCCGAGUCAGGUCCAGAUUUUAGCAUUUUUAUUCAGGUCGGGCUUGAGCAAAAUUUUAAGCCCAUUUUUUGGGCCAAACCAGGCCUGGGCUUAGCAAAUGGGCCUAAAUUUUUAGUCAAGCCCGACCUAAACCCGAUCCGGCCCAUGCUCACCUCUAGAUCAGAGCUGCCCUCGCUUUGCAUUUCUUUGAGAUUCAGUCUUAUCUACUGUUGAUUGCCCACUCAAUUGAGGGUUGAGUAGAAAGAUUUGGUGAAGCAAGCUAAGCUAUCAAUCAAGGUUGGAGAAAGCUUAGGAGGUCACAAUGCAUAAUUAUUUAAAUGUAAUUCUAAUAUUUAAAUAAAAUUUAUUAAUAUAGUAUUAACAAGCCCUAAAUGUAAUGAUUAUAUACUAUUACAUUUUUAAGAAGAGAAAACAUGUUUGAACCUUAAAAACAUCAUUAUUAAAAAUGAUAAUUAAAAAUUUUAAAAUAUAAAAAAUAUAAUUAAAAAUUAAUUUUAAACCCGAGCUGGAUAAAAUUCUAAUUUUAGAUAACGAUACUAAUAAGAAAUCAAUAUUAAAAUGAAAAUGAAAAGUAAUUUAAUAUAAUUUUUGAGUCUUGGGCAAAGGCACUCAAUGAAUGCUUGGAAAGAAAUAAUGCAACUUGGUGAUAGCUUUUGUUGGAGUAAUAUGCUCUUAUUAUAGUUUUAUGUUUUUAUCUUGCAAAAACAACAUAUUGGAGUUUUCGGCAUGAUUUUUUCUUAAUACUUUACAUGAAAAAUAAUAAUGGGACUUAAAAAUCUAUCAAAAGCUUCACCAUAAUAAUAAUAAUAAUAAUAAUAAUAAUAAUAAUAAUAAUAAUAAUAAUAAAUUGCUACAAUAUUACAACACAAAGUUACAAUAAGAGCUUAUAACUCAACAAAGGCUAUCAAUAAAUAAUCUCAGGCAAGCUAAAGAGAAAUGUUGAGAAUACCACCCGAAUAGUGACUGACUUUAAAAGUUGAAAACCCAAAGCUAUAGUAUCUCAAACUAAAUCAAACCAUAAACAUUAAAAUUUUCAAGUCUACUAGCUACUGUAAAAAAUACAGCUCCAACAGACACCAAAUGAGUCUUUGAUCGAAGAAAGUACAAAAACUAGUCUGGGUAAACCAAGCUGCCAAACUUACUUAUCUUAUCUUUAAUUUUGCAGUGAAAUUAAAAACUAAGUUUUUGUUUAUUUCACUUGGAACAACUUUCAAAAAAUUAUUUUUGAAAAAUGGAUUGGUUUUUCGAAAUAAAUGAUAUUUUAUUGUGUUAAAAUUUUAUUCGUUGUUGGAAAACUUUUUUUAAAUCAUUUUCUUAAAGUUAUUUUUAGUGAAACAAACAUAACAUAAAUAUAUUUGUUACAAAAAAUUAUACUAGUAAUUUCUUUUGACAAUUAAAAUUUAUUUUAUGGUAAGACAAUAUUUUAUAAUAAUUAAUAUCAUAUAUAUACGUAAUAAAAAUCAUGUUUAAUUAAAAUUUAAUUAAAAUUAGAUGUAUUAAUAAAGCUACUCCUCCACAACCCGCAUCCGCAACAGCACCAGCACCAGCACCAGCACCAGCAUCAGCACCAUGGGACAACUAUUGGGUUUCCUCCACCUGCCUCUAUCGCUCCUCCUCAGUAUUACCCCUAAGCCUACCAGACCGUGCCGGGUAUUCUACAAAUAUGAAAAAACCUUCUUCUCUUUUUAUUAGCUUAUCGAAAUGAAGGAUUUUGAGAUUUGGGCUUUUGUUAGAUGGAUGGUUAAUGAUAUUUUUUAGAUGAAAGAUACAAGUUUUUUAAUGUUUUAGAAGAAAAGGUGUUUAAAUAUUAGGAGUUUUUUAGCAGAGAAAGAAGAUAAAUAAAUGCAUAGAGAUACAUUAGCAAUAUUAUUUGGAUUUGGUUGUCUAAUGUAAUGAAGAAUUUUUUAAGGGUGACCUGAGUAGGUGUGGCAAGAUUCAAAGUUUUUUCUAUUAUAGCAGAUAUAUAUAUAUUAAUGGUUUAAGAAGACUAGAAGUCGGUUUCAAAGGAAGAUGAGAAAUAAAAGCAUUUAUAUAUAUGAUAUGUCAUUAAUUCAUAAACCAAAUAUAUAAAGUAUGUAAAAGUGUCAGGGGUUAAUCAUGGUGUUUUGACAAUCCGGUAACCUUCAACUUGAAGAAAACCUUAGGUUUCAAAAAUUUAUGUGAAGAGUUAGAAUGGUAUGCUUCAUGGAUCUGAAUAACUAGAACAGUGUAAGAGUGGUAUAUUGUGUCAAGUUUGGUUUCUUGUAUAUAAUUGUAUCGAAAACAAUGUUACAUGAGUUAAAAUGAAUGUUCAUCCAAUUUAACAAAGCCUGCAUUAUGUUGAUCAAAAUUUUUAAUUCAUGUUGAGGUUUCUUCCGUGAUAUCUUUGAUGUCAAGGUUAUGAUGUUGCUGAAGGGACACCUGUAAGAGAUAAGCUACGGUGCUGUGGCAUUGGAUUCGGAUGGUUCUUGUAAGUGUACAUAGUUUUCUUUGUUUUUAAAGAGUUCUUUACAUAUGAAGUAAAACAAGUAGCGACUUGAUGGAUAUGUCAUUAAGCUUUAACUUAAGCAAAUCAUUUUCCUUCAUCUCUAAUUGCCAUUUCUUUAAAAGAAAAAGAGGAAGUUUUGUAGUUUACAGUUUGGACAAAUGGAAGUUAAUAUAAUGCACUAUUUGGAUGGACUAUGGAGAUAUCCAAUCAUAUUGGAUGAGUUAUAAGAAACCUGUGAGUUCAUAUUGGGUUUACUUUAUAUCAUAAUUAGAUUGUUGAGCUGGCUGUCAGACUUAGAUGGUAUUUCACGUUGCUACAUGUUAAACUAUACCACUUUCACAUUCAUACGUGAAAUGGCUGGGAUUUAGUGCCAUUCUACUUAGCAGCCUCGUGUAAUACACAGGUGAAAUGUUUAUGUCUUCAUGUCACCUUAAAGUUCCCAUUUCCAUGACGGUAUUGUUAAGUAAAGACUGGUACAUACCCCAAAAUACGGAAAUUGUUUUGGAUGUAUACUAUACUUUACCAUGCAUGAUUUUUUACAAGUUUGCAUGGUAUUUUAUCAUUAUAUUGGUCUUUAUUUUCUAUACUCGCAGCUUCCAUUAAUAUAUUUUUAUGAAUUUUAUCAUUAUGCUGGUUUGAAGGUUCAUCAUUGGUUUCUUCAUUGGGGGCCAUCCCUGGUAUAUUGGAUUCUUUGUUUUACUUUGUGCAAGGAUAGACGACAGAGAGAAAGCAGGAUAUAUUGCAUGCACAAUUGCCGUGAGUAUCUUUUCUAUCAUUAUUUUUUUCUUUUCCAAUUUUAUGAAAGCCAUCCUUCCUGCCUUGUAUUGAUCAUCAAUUUAACCAUUGUAUAUAUGUAUCUUAUGUAUUUGUACCAUGCUUUAUCUUCAAUGCAAAUAUAAGUUAAACUACAAAGAUUGGAUUGUUAAAAAAAGUUUAAAAUGUUAAAAAAAUUGAAAAUUUUGAUUUUGUAAGAAUGAUAGAAAACCAAGGCCAGUGCUUGCAUAUGUUAUCUACUACAUGCACAAUCGGGUCGAUGUCUGUAUAUGUUUCAUGUUUAGAAAUCGUGUUCAAUUGGGUUACGAUAUGUACAAUUGAAGUGUCAAUUUAUAAUUUCCUUAUCAAGAUUACACAUUUUUUUGUUAAUAUUCGGAAUCACUCAAUGGUUAUAAACCCUGAUUGGAUACUGUCCACAAAGUCUAGUUGGAACAUCCCUUGUAUUCUUUGUCCUUUCUAAGAACUUUCCUUUCCAUCAUUCUCGCUUCUGUUUUUUUUUUCUUCCCUCUACUUUAAGUCAUUAUCUAACGUAGAUAUCCCUUGUAUUCUUUGUCCUUUCUAUGGCAAUCGAGUCAAUUGAUGGCAAGCCAAAAAAACAAAAAGAACAGCUAUCCUGUCUUACUCGAUUGCCAUCCCUCCUGUUAAACACCAUUAAGAAAAGGAAAAUUUUAGUUAAGCUUUAAAACAGCCAUGUUUUAACGAUGUUGGUGAUGGUGCUUGUGCAGGCCCUUCUUGCUACAAUUACAAUUAUUCUUAGUGCAACAAUUAAAGCUGGUGGGUGAUAAAGCACACCUCUUUUGACUGAGAGAUGUAUAGGUUCCCAAAUAAUAUGUAUAUGCUCCCCCCCCCCUCCCUUUAUUUUAUUUUAUUUCCAGUAAGUUAUUGUUUAUGAUAAUUUGCAACAAAUGUUUUUGUCAUUAUUUUGUUGGUGAAUGAUAAUAAGAUUAAGCUUUACUUUCUUAAGCUCCAAUUCCUUGGACGUUGGUGAUUUUUUUAUUAUAGUUGAGUCCUUGUAUGGUAUUAAUAUAAUUUAUGUCGCUUAAAAUUUAUAACUAAAAAUAUAAAAUUUAAAUUUUACUUCAAUUUAUUUGUAUUUAUAAAUGGUUAAUUCAAACUUAUUUUUUUCCUCAUUAUAUUUUAUAUUUAAAUUAACAUUUAAACUAUUUUUCAUUAGCAAUGUUGUUAAGAAUUAUAUUUUUUAGCACCAACAUCAAACUUACUAAAAUUAAAUUUUUAACUAUUUUAAAAAAAAUAUUUUUAGCUAUUUAUCAUCAUAGAGAAAAAAAGGUGACGUCACCACGCCUCAUGCUUCGACACCACAAACUAGACUCUCAUCACCUGUAUUUAUCAUCGAUUCAAAUUCCAGAACUACCUAAAAAUAUAUCUUCAAACUUCCUCUGGUUAAGUUCAUUGAUAGUCAACUUACUAUUAUUUCUAAAAAAAAAAACAAAUAAAUUGGUUAAUAGUAAUCUCAAUGAUUCAAUUUUAUUCUUACCAAUAUCUGUCCUUUAGAAAGGGGCUUAUAAAAGGGAUAGAGGUGAGUAAACUUGAGCUUCAGCUUUCCACAAACACCUUAAUUUGAAGACACAGUUCUCUCAUACUAAAAAAGACAUGGAAGUUUACCUUGUAAUUAGAGAUUUGGUUUCAUUGCUUGUUGUUGGGUUAUUAAUGAUAUGGGGAUGCAGAACUUUAAACUGGGUAUGGCUGGCCCCAAAAAGGCUCGAAAGCUGCUUGAGACAACAGGGUUUUGCAGGGAAUCCUUACAGGUUCCUUUCUGGUGACAUAAAAGAGCUCUCAACUAUGAGCAGACAAACAAGAGCCAAACCUAUGCCUCUUAGUGAUGAUAUUGGGCCUUAUGUUGUUCCUUUUCAACAUCAAACUGCUAACCAGUAUGGUAUGCUUUUUUUGUUUAAUCUGCAAUUUAUGAUAAUUCUUUGUUAUUUAUGUAUGGAAUUUAUUGGGAGGAAAUGCAGGAAAGAAUUCAUUUACGUGGUUUGGUCCAAGACCAAGGGUGAACAUUACGGACCCUGAAAAAAUAAGAGAAAUACUUAACAAAUUUAAUGACUUCCAGAAGAUACAUACCAAUCCACUGCUUAAUUUGCUUGUAAGCGGCCUUGCUAACCUCGACGGAGACCGAUGGAGCAAGCGUAGAAAAAUCAUAAACCCUGCAUUUCAUCAAGAUAAGUUGAAGGUAUAGAAUAGUGAUGGGUAAUCAGACUUUACAGAAAACAUCAUACUUAAACCUAUGCUUUCCUGAUUUAGAAAUAAUUGGAUGCAGAAUAUGUUGCCAGCAUUUUAUCAAAGUUGUAGUGACAUGUUAAGCAAAUGGGAGAAGAUGGUGUGUACAAAAGGAUACAGUGAGUUAGAUGUGUGGCCUUAUCUCGUAGAUUUGACAAGAGAUGUGAUUUCCCGAUCUGCUUUUGGAAGCAGCUUCGAAGAAGGCAAACGAAUUUUCCAAUUACUAGAGGACCAACUCGUUCACAUAAUCAAAUUAAUACAAACUGUUUACAUUCCAGGAUGGAGGUAACCCUCAACUUAAUUUACUUGAAAAAGGUUGCAAAUGUUGGAAUUGGCUAAAUUCGUGUUUGUUUUCUUGAAGGUUUUCGCCAACGAAGACAAACAGGGAGAUGAAGAUGAAACACAGGGACAUAAAAGAGUUGCUUAUGGAAAUGAUAAAGAGAAGGGAGAAGGCAAUUAAAGCAGGGGAAGAGAGCAAUGAGGACUUGUUGGACAUACUUGUGGAAUCCAAUAUCAGAGAAAUGGAAGCAAAGAAUAUGGGGAUGAGCAUUGAGGAUGUGAUUGAGGAAUGCAAGCUGUUUUACUUAGCUGGCCAAGAGACCACUUCGGUCUUACUGGUGUGGACUAUGGUUUUAUUAGCAAGGUAUCCCGAUUGGCAAAGUAAAGCAAGAGAGGAGGUUUUGCAUGUUUUGGGUGACAGUAAACCUGACGCUGAUGGCCUUAAUCGUCUCAAAGUUGUAAGUCCCUAGCAUGUCUUUUGAAGGUCCGAUCAAUGAGGUCGACAACUCAAAAACUUUGUUUCUUUUUUCGCUAAUUCUACAGGUAACAAUGAUAUUGUACGAGGUUCUAAGGCUGUACCCACCGGUGGUUGAGCUAGAACGUUCCGUUCCAAAAGAAAUAAAACUGGGGAAUUUGUUGUUACCAGUAGGAACAGAAGUUUCGGUUCCGAUCCUGCUGAUCCACCAUGACAAAGAUCUUUGGGGCGAUGACGCACGGGAAUUUAAGCCAGAGCGGUUCGCGGAAGGGGUUUCCAAAGCAACAAAGAGUCAAGUCACGUUUCUGCCAUUCGGAUGGGGUCCUAGGAUCUGUAUUGGCCAAAAUUUUGCUAUGAUGGAAGCCAAAAUGGCGAUGGCUAUGAUUCUCCAACGCUUCUGGUUCGAGCUUUCCCCUUCCUAUGCUCACUCUCCUUACGGCAGGGCAACUCUUCGUCCACAGCAUGGUGCACAGAUAAUUUUACAUAAACUUGGCUGUAAUUGAAUUGUUAUGUAAACAAAUCUUUGUGAAAACAUAGCGUUUUAGUUUAUCGUCAAAGUCCGGUGUCUGUAAUGGUACAAAUUCGAUGCAUGAAUAGUAAAGUUUGAGAUGUUUGGUGAAGUCCGAAAUAAUAUGCAGAAAUUGAGUGUGGUAAUUAUCAAUCAAAUAAUUCGGUACAAAGACUUAUAUGGAAAUUAAAGCAGGGGGAGUUGAAAAUGACUACUCUGCUUUGGGCAUCAAUUUAGAAAGAUUUAAAGUACAAAUGUGUUAUUAGUUAAGGGAUUUGUUUUAAAGAGGGAAUGACAAUUAAACCUCAUGGUUGAUUUGUGGAAGGGAACCGAUGAUGGGAUGAUUAUUCUUAGUGGUAAAAAAAACUAUUGUGGAGGUUAUUAUACUUGUUAUCAUCGGCUUAAAAUUCGAAUGGGUUCAAGUCGGAUUAUAUCGAGCUUGUAAGAUGAGUUCACGGAUCAAGUUUGCAUAAUAAAAAUACUUAAAUGAAAAAAUUUCUAUUUUAGAGGGACCAGAGCCCCUACCAACUCCCGGCUCAGCUACUAAACAAUACCCAUAUCAUAUAAAUAAAUACCACAUAAAAAAAACUCAAAGAAAAACACUGACAAAUGAUAAAUAGAUAGAUGUUGGAUAAGUGUCCAAAAUAUGAUUUAAGUGAAGAUACAUGGGGUAGGUGUCACGGAAAUGUGAAUACAAGAAUACUACUAAUGGGAUGUGUACAGUUGAAUGUAGGGAGCAAAAAGAGGAGUGAAUCAUUUUGGUAACAUUGGGACAAGAAACAUAAUGAACAAAAUGGAAGCAGAGGAAGCUAGUAAAAGAAAUUUUUUGGGUCAUAUAAUUUGUUUGGCAUAUAUUUUUAUAAUUUUUAAAUAUCAUUUUGGACUUGAAUUAUAAUUUUUUUAUAUAUUAUCUUAAAAUUGUAUAAAUUUUAAGGAGUUAAAACAAAAUUAUUCUAUUUUUAGAUGGUUAAAGUAGAGAUGAUAAUGGGUUGAGCUAUUCGGCCCAGCCUGACGAUCCACCCGAAAAAUAGGAAGGUUUGGGUAAAAAUAUAGGCUCGAAAUAUGAAUUUGAGCAAAAAAAGAGGCCCGUUUAGAAAAUAGGCCGGGCCUCAGGUAAAACCUUUUGGGCCCAGACCUGACCUAAAUUAUAUAUUAAAUAUAUAUAUUUUUAUUUUUAAUCAAAUAUACUUUUGUUUUAUUAUUAAUUUGGUUAUUAUUUUAGUUCUAAUUUGUUUCAAUUUUAAUAUAACUACUUUUUAUUAUAUUUUCAAUUUGUGUAUUGUUUUAAGAAUUAUUUUAGUCUCAUUAUUUAUUUAUUUUUUAUUUUAAUAUUUGUUUUAAAAUUUUUUAUUUAUUGAAAUAAGCUAAAAAAAUUAAUAUGGGUUGGACCAGACCGGGCUCGGGCCUAGUAAUUUUCUUUUGGGCCGGACUUAAACAAAUUUUUAAGCCCAUAUUUUGAAUUGGGUCCUACACUAGAAAAUGGACCUAAAAUUUUGUAUUACCUUUAGGUCAGAGCUAUCCUCGUUUUGCAUUUCUUUGAGAUUCAGCCUUAUUUACUUUUGAUUGCCACUCAAUAGAGGGUUGAGUAGAAAUAUUUGGUGAAGCAAGCUAAGCUAUCAAUCAAGGUGUGCAUAAUUAUUUAAAUGUAAUUCUAAUAUUAAAAUAAAAUUUUUAUUAAUAUAGUAUCAACAAGCAUUAAAUGUAAUCAUCAUAUACUAUUAAAUUUUCAAUAAGAGAAAACAUGCUUGAACUUUAAAAACGAUGUUACUAAAAACAUUAUCACAAAUCUUGAAAUAUAAAAAAUAUUUUUUAAUAUAAUAAAAAAUAAUUUUAAACCCGAGAUGAAUAAAAUUCUAAUUUUAAUUAAUGAUACCAACAACAAAUCAAUAUUUAAAUUAAAAUUUAUCUUAAUUUAAUAUAAUAAAAUUGGACCUGAAUAUUGAAUUUUUGAGUCUUGGGCAAAGUAGAGGUGCUCAUGGGCCGGGCUGGGUCGGGUUUGGGAAAAAUUUCGGCCCGCAUCCUAGGCUCGGGCUCGGCCCGACCCAAAUAUGGGCCUAAAAUUUUGUCUAGGCCUAGCCCGACCCGGCCCGACUUAUUUUUUUUAAUAAACACCAACAAUUUAUUUUGAAAAUAAAAAAAUAAAAAAAGUAUUUUAAAAAUAUUUUAAAAUUUUUAAAAAAUAUAUAUAUUUAUUAUAUAUUCGGGCCGGGCCAGGCCCGAGCCAAAAAAGUGGCGCCCAAGGCCCGGCCUGUUUUCUAAACGGGACUCAUUUUUUACCCAAACCCAUAUUUCGGGCCUAUAUUUCUACCCGAAUCUCUCAUAUUUCGGGCGAACCGUCGGGCCAGACCGGGCCGCCCGGCCAUGAACACCUCUAGGACAAAGUCACUCAAUGAAUGCAUGGAAAGAAAUAAUGCAACUUGGUGAUAGCUUUUGUUGGAGUUAUAUGCUUUUUUUUUACGUAGUGGAACUUUCGGUGGAUUUUCAAGUUUCAUGAACUUUAUACCCUAUGCUUUACGUGAAAAAAAAUCAUUGGACUUAAAAGUCUGCCAAAAGUUUCACUAUAAUAAAUAAAUAAAUAACAUUGCUACAAGACUUCAACAUAAAGUUACAAUAAGAGCUUAUAACUCAACAAAGGCUAUCAAUAAAUAAUCUCAAACAAAUUAAAGAGAAAUGUUGAGAGUACCACUCGAAUAGUGAUUAACUUUAAAAAUUGAAAACCCAAAGUUAUAAUAUCCCAAACGAAAUCAAACCAUAAACAUUAAAUUUUUCGAGUCUACUAGAUACUGCAAAAAAUUCAGCUCCAACAGACACCAAAUGAACCUAUGAUCGAAGAAAAUACGAAAAUUAGUCUAGCUAAAUCAAGCUGCCAAACUUACUUUUUAUCUUAUCUUUAAUUUGCUGUGAAAUUCAAAACUAAGGUUUUGUACUUAGAACAACUUUCAAAAAGUUAAUUUUGAAAAAUGGAUUGAAUUUUCAAAAUAGAUGAUAUUUUAUUGUGUUAAAAUUUUAUUCGUUGUUUGAAAAAAAAUUUAAAUCAUUUUCUUAGAAUUAUUUUUAGUGAAACAAACAUAUCAUAAAUAUAUUUGUUAUAAAAUAUUUAUAUUAAUAUUUUCUUUUAACAAUUAAAAUAUAUUUUGUGAUAAGGUAUAUUUUAUAAUAAUUAAUAUCAUAUAUACUUAAUAAUAAAUCAUGUCUAAUUAAAAUUUAAUUUCAAUUAAAUAUAUUAAUAAAGCUACAUAUAAUCAUAUUUUAUAUAAUAAAAAUAUUAAUAUAAAUAUUUUUUUAAUAAUAUAUUAAAGAAUAUUUAAAAUUUAAAUUUAUUAUUACUAAGAUUAAUUAUUAAAAUAAAAAUGUAAUAUUAAAUAAUUUAUCCAAUGAUAAGUUAUAUUAAUAAUUUAUUAUAUUAUUAAAUAUAAAUAAUUAAAUAUGUAUGUUUAAUAAUAUUAUGUUAUAAUAUUUAUUAUUAAUAUUUUAAUAUUUUUAAACAACCAUGUUUUAAAGAUGGUGGUGAUGCUGAUGGUGCAGGCCCCCUUGUUACAAUUACAAUAUUUUUAAGUGGGAUGCAUGUAAUAUAUUGUUAGGGUUCUAGAGUGUGUCAUCUUUAAAAGGGUUAAAUUAUAUAUUUAUAUAAUAUGAUUAUUGUUUAUAAACAUAAUAUUGUAGAUAAACUUUUAUGCAUGUCAAUAUGUAUCCUACUCUGGGGUUAAUAUGUAUUUUUAGAUAUGGAUUCACCUAUAUAAUAGUAUGAAUCCAUCAUGCGGUCUCAUGAAAUAUACAAACACAUAUCGUGCGAACACAAAGUACGAACAAUAAAAAGUACAAAUCAAGACCAAUUGAGUAAUUGAAUAACAGAUAGGUAAUAAUGACUAUCCCCUCUUGUUUGAAUUUAUUUUAUUUCCAGUGAGUUAUCGUUUAUGAUAAAUUUACAACAAAUGUUUUUAUCAUUAUUUUGUUGGUAAAUGAUAAUAAGAUUAAACUUUACUUUCUUAAGCUCCUUCAAUUCUUUGGACGUUAGCAAGUAAACUUGAGCUUCAGCAUUCCACAAACACCUUAAUUUGAAGACACAGUUCUCCCAUACUAAAAACAACAUGGACGUUUACCUUGUAAUUAAUGAUACGGGGAUGGAGAGCUUUAAACUGGGUAUGGCUGGCCCCAAAGAGGCUCGAAACGUGCUUGAGACUAGAGGUCCAGGCAAAUUUUUAGGCCCAUUUUUUAGGCUUGGACUGGGCCCGACUCGAAAUAUGAGCUUAAAAAUUUGUCUAAGUUCGGUCCAAAAGAAAAUUGUUAAGCCUAAGCCUGGCCCAUAUUAAAUUUUACAACACCAAAAAACUAUAUAUUUAAUAUAUAUAUUUGAUUAAAAAGUAUAUUUAAUUAAAAAUAAAAAUAUAUAUUUAAUAUAUAAUUCGGGCCGGGCCGAACUCGGGCCAAAAAAGUUUUACUCGGGGCUGGUCCGUUUUCUAAACAGACCUCGUUUCUUUGUCAAAAUCCAUAUUUUAGGCUUAUAUUUUUACCCGAAACUUCCUAUUUUUCGGGUGAGCCGUCAGGCCGGACUGGGUAGCCCAACCAAUGAUCACCUCUACUUGAGACAACAGGGUUUUGCAGGGAAUUCUUACAGGUUCGUUUCUGGCGACAUAAAAGAGCUCUUCACUAUAAGCAUACAAACAAGAGCCAAACCUAUGCCUCUUAGUGAUGAUAUUGGGCCUUAUGUUGUUCCUUUUCAACAUCAAACCGUCAACCAGUAUGGUAUGUUUUUUAAUUUAAUCUACAAUUUAUGAUAAUUCUUUGCUAUUUAUGUAUGGAAUUUAUUGGGAGGAAAUGCUGGGAAGAAUUCAUUUACGUGGAUUGGUCCAAGAUCAAGGGUGAACAUUACGGACCCUGAAAAAUAAGAGAAAUACUUAACAAAUUUAAUGAGAUCCAGAAGGUACGUACCAAUCCACUGCUUAAUUUGCUUGUAAGCGGCCUUGUUAACCUCGAAGGAGACCGAUGGAGCAAGCAUAGAAAAAUCAUAACCCUUCAUUUCAUCAAGAUAAGUUGAAGGUAUAGAAUAGUGAUGGGUACUUAAGACUUAAUUUACAGAAAACAUCAUACUUAAAUCUAUGCUUUUCUGAUUUAGAAAUGAUUGGAUGCAGAAUAUGUUGCCAGCAUUUUAUCAAAGUUGUUGUGACAUGUUAAGCAAAUGGGAGAAGAUGGUGUGUACAGAAGGAUACAGUGAGUUAGAUGUGUGGCCUUAUCUUGUAGAUUUGACAAGAGAUGUGAUUUCCCGAUCUGCUUUUGGAAGCAGCUUCGAAGAAGGCAGACGAAUUUUCCAAUUACUAGAGGACCAACUCGUUCUCACAAUCAAAUUAAUACAAACUGUUUACAUUCCAGGAUGGAGGUAACCCUCAACUUAAUUUACUUGAAAAAGGUUGCAAAUGUUGGAAUUCGCUAAAUUCGUGUUUGUUUUCUUGAAGGUUUUUGCCAACAAAGACAAACAGGGAGAUGAAGAUGAAACACAGACAUAAAAGAGUCGCUUAGGGAAAUGAUAAAGAGAAGGGAGAAGGCAAUUAAAGCAGGGGAAGAGAGCAAUGAGGACUUGUUGGACAUACUUGUGGAAUCCAAUAUCAGAGAAAUGGAAGCAAAGAAUAUGGGGAUGAGCAUUGAGGAUGUGAUUGAGGAAUGCAAGCUGUUUUACUUUGCUGACCAAAAGACCACUUCGGUCUUGCUGGUGUGGACUAUGGUUUUAUUAGCAAGGUAUCCCGAUUGGCAAAGUAAAGCAAGAGAGGAGGUUUUGCAUGUUUUGGGUGACAGUAAACCUGAUGCUGAUGGCCUUAAUCGUCUCAAAGUUGUAAGUCCCUAGCAUGUCUCUUGAAGGCCCGAUCUCUGAGGUCGACAACUCAAAAACUUGGUUUCUUUGUUUCGCUAAUUCUACAGUUAACAAUGAUAUUGUACGAGGUUCUAAGGCUGUACCCACCAGUGAUUGAGCUAGGACGUUCCGUUCCAAAAGAAAUAAAACUGGGAAAUUUGUUGUUACCAGCAGGAACAGACGUUUCGGUUCCAAUCCUGCAGAUCCACCAUGACAAAGAUCUUUGAGGCGACGACGCACGGGAAUUUAAGCCACAGCGGUUCACGGAAGGGGUUUCCUAAGCAACAAAGAGUCAAGUCACGUUUCUGCCAUUCGGAUGGGGUCCUAGGAUCUGCAUUGGCCAAAACUUUGCCAUGAUGGGAACCAAAAUGACGAUGGCUAUGAUUCUCCAACGCUUCUGGUUCGAGCUUUCCUCUUCCUAUGCUUACUCUCCUUACAACAUGGCAACUCUUCGUCCACAGCAUGGUGCACAGAUAAUUUUACAAAAACUUGGCUGUAAUUGAAUUGUUAUGUAAACAAAUCUUUGUGAAAAUAUAGUGUUUUAGUGUAUCGUCAAAGUCUGCCUGUAAUGGUACAAUUCCGAUGCAUGAAUAGUAAAUCUUGAGAUGUUUGGUGAAGUCCGAAAUAAUAUGCAGAAAUUGAGUGUCUUGAAUGGAUGUAGUAUUUAAUGGUGGACAUAGUUGAGGGACUAAUGUGGUAAUUAUCAAACAAAUAAUUGCAUAUGGUACAAAGACUUGUAUGGAAAUUAGAGCAGGGCGAGUUGAAAAUUACUACUUUGCUUCGGGCAUCAAUUUAGAAAGAUUUAAAGUACAAAUGUAUUAUUAGUUUAAGGGAUUUGUUUUAAAGAAGGAAUGACAAUUAAACCUCAUGGUUGAUGUGUGGAAGGGAACCAAUGAUGGGAUGAUUACUCCUAGUGGUAAAAAAAAAAACUAUUAAGGUGGUUAUUAUAGUUGUUAUCACCGGCCCAAAAUUAGAAUAGGUUCAGGUCGGAUUAUAUUGAGCUUGUAGAUGAGUUUGCAUGAUAAUAGGUGUUCACAGAAAGAUAUCUAUAGUUUCCUACAAAGUCACAUGUGAGAUCGUGCAUUGGGACCGCAUAAAAAUGUUUUAUGUUUAGAAUAUGAUACGUGUCUAUGUGUAUGGAAUCUACCUAAUAUAUCAUAUUAAUUAAUAGUAUCAAUUGCGGAGCCAAAAAAUUAUUUCUGAGGGGUCAGAAUUAAAUUGUAUAUUUUUACAAAAAUAAAAAUUAAAUUUCACUAUUUUAAUAGUUUAUUUCUUUUUAAUUUUUAAAUGAUUAAAUUAAAUUUUUAUAAAUUUUUGGGAUCAAAGUACAAUUUUAUCAUUUCUAAUUUAAAAUUUUAUAAAAUAUAAAAAGUUUAUAUGAAAAGUUUUCUAUUUUAGAGUGGCCAAAGCCCCUGCCAACUUCCGACUCGAUCACUAAACAAUAUAAAUAAAUAAAUACCACCAUCUAAAAGACUCAAGAAAAACACUCAACGAUAAAUAGAUAGAUGUUGGGUAAAGAUACGUUUGGAUGGGCGGUGCGUUUACUUGCGGUUAGUAUAAAAAUAGCGGUGGCGGUUAGAUUAGAUACUAUAGCAACACUGUAGCGUAAGACAAAAAAUAAGCUAAACGCACUGCACUGCACUUAAUCGCCCAUCCAAACUCACCCUAAGUGUCCAAAAUAUGAUUUAAGUGAAGAUACGUAGGGUAGGUGUCAUGGAAAUGUAAAAGACAAGAAUCCCACUAAUGUAUGGGAUGUGUACAGCUGAAUGUAGGGAGCAAAGAGGAGUGAAUCAUUUUGGUAACAUUUGGACAAGAAACAUAAUGAACAAAAUGAAAGGAGAGGAAGCUAGUAAAAGAUUUUUUUGGGUUAUAUAAUUUGUUUGGCAUAUAUUUUUAUAAUUUUUAAAUAUCAUUUUGGAGUUGAAUUAUAAUUUCUUUUUAUGUUUUAAAACAUAAUUAUUCUAUCUUCAAAGGGUUAGAGUAGAGGUGAGCAUGGGUCGGGCUACUCGGCCCGAAAUGUGAGAGAUUUGGGCAAAAAUAUAGGCUCAAAAAAUGGACUUGGACAAAAAAAUAUAAGGCCCGUUGAAAAAUGGGCCGGGCAUUGGGUAAGGCAUUUUUGGCCCCGGGCCCGGCCCAAUCCUAAUUCACUAAAGGACAAAAAAAAUCUGAUUUUUAAAUAUUAUUUUCUCCCUAUUUUGCUACCAUUUUACUAUUAUGUUGCUACUAUUUUGUUGUUAUUUUUUGGAUAUUGUAUAAAACUUAUUUUAUUGUUAAUUUUGUUAUUAUUUUAAAGACAUUUGUUAAUUUUGUUAUUAUUUUAGAGACAUUUGCUUGUUAAGUUGCAUCUAUCUUAGUGUUAUUUAAGUAUACAUAUUUUUUAAAAUUUAUUUUCAAUUUAUUGGGAAAUAUUUAUUUUGAUGUUUUUAGUAUUUUGGAUGUAUUAUAUAUAUUAAAAUUAUAUAAAAAUUAAUAUGGCCGAGCCGAGUCAGGCCCAGAUUUUAGCAUUUUUAUUCAAGUCGGGCUUGAGCAAAAUUUUAAGCCCAUUUUUUGGGCCAAACCAGGCCUGGGCUUAGCAAAUGGGCCUAAAUUUUUAGUCAAGCCCGACCUAAACCCGAUCCGGCCCAUACUCACCUCUAGAUCAGAGCUGCCCUCGCUUUUCAUUUCUUUGAGAUUCAGUCUUAUCUACUGUUGAUUGCCCACUCAAUUGAGGGUUGAGUAGAAAGAUUUGGUGAAGCAAGCUAAGCUAUCAAUCAAGGUUGGAGAAAGCUUAGGAGGUCACAAUGCAUAAUUAUUUAAAUGUAAUUCUAAUAUUUAAAUAAAAUUUAUUAAUAUAGUAUUAACAAGCCCUAAAUGUAAUGAUUAUAUACUAUUACAUUUUUAAGAAGAGAAAACAUGUUUGAACCUUAAAAACAUCAUUAUUAAAAAUGAUAAUUAAAAAUUUUAAAAUAUAAAAAAUAUAAUUAAAAAUUAAUUUUAAACCCGAGCUGGAUAAAAUUCUAAUUUUAGAUAACGAUACUAAUAAGAAAUCAAUAUUAAAAUGAAAAUGAAAAGUAAUUUAAUAUAAUUUUUGAGUCUUGGGCAAAGGCACUCAAUGAAUGCUUGGAAAGAAAUAAUGCAACUUGGUGAUAGCUUUUGUUGGAGUAAUAUGCUCUUAUUAUAGUUUUAUGUUUUUAUCUUGCAAAAACAACAUAUUGGAGUUUUCGGCAUGAUUUUUUCUUAAUACUUUACAUGAAAAAUAAUAAUGGGACUUAAAAAUCUAUCAAAAGCUUCACCAUAAUAAUAAUAAUAAUAAUAAUAAUAAUAAUAAUAAUAAUAAUAAUAAUAAAUUGCUACAAUAUUACAACACGUUACAAUAAGAGCUUAUAACUCAACAAAGGCUAUCAAUAAAUAAUCUCAGGCAAGCUAAAGAGAAAUGUUGAGAAUACCACCCGAAUAGUGACUGACUUUAAAAGUUGAAAACCCGAAGCUAUAGUAUCUCAAACGAAAUCAAACCAUAAACAUUAAAAUUUUCAAGUCUACUAGCUACUGUAAAAAAUGCAGCUCCAACAGACACCAAAUGAGUCUUUGAUCGAAGAAAGUACAAAAACUAGUCUGGGUAAACCAAGCUGCCAAACUUACUUAUCUUAUCUUUAAUUUUGCAGUGAAAUUAAAAACUAAGUUUUUGUUUAUUUCACUUGGAACAACUUUCAAAAAAUUAUUUUUGAAAAAUGGAUUGGUUUUUCGAAAUAGAUGAUAUUUUAUUGUGUUAAAAUUUUAUUCGUUGUUGGAAAACUUUUUUUAAAUCAUUUUCUUAAAGUUAUUUUUAGUGAAACAAACAUAACAUAAAUAUAUUUGUUACAAAAAAAUUAUAUUAGUAUUUUCUUUUGACAAUUAAAAUUUAUUUUAUGAUAAGACAAUAUUUUGUAAUAAUUAAUAUCAUAUAUAUACUUAUUAAAAAAAUCUUGUUUAAUUAAAAUUUAAUUAAAAUUAAAUAUAUUAAUAAAGCUACAUAUAAUCAUAUUUUUUAUAAUUAAAAUAUUAAUAUAAAUAUUUUUCAAUAAUAUAUUAAAAUAUUAAAAUUUAAAUUAUUAUUACUUAAAUUAAUUAUUAAAAUAAAAAUUUAAGAUUAAAUAAUUUAUUCAAUGAUAAGUUUUAUUAAUAAUUUAUUGUAUUAUUAAAUAUAAUUAAUUAAAUAUGCAUAUUUAAUAAUAUUACGUUAUAAUAUUUUAAUAUUCUUAAACAGCCAUGUUUUUAAGAUGCUGGUGAUGGUGAUGGUGCGGGCCUCUCUUGUUACAAUUACUAUAAUUUUUUGUGCAAUAAUUGAAGUUGUUGGGUGGUCAAGCAAACCUCUUUUGACUGAGAUGCAUAUAAUAUACCCGCAUGUCCCCGCCUCCUAAAAUUUAAAUUUGCUAUUUGAAUCUUUAAAAUUUUUAAAAAUUUUAAAUUCAUAAAAGUAAAAUUAUACUUUGACCCUCUAAAAUUAUAAAAAUUUAAUUUAAUCUUUUAAAAAUUAUAAAUAUAUAGACUAUAAAAAAUUAAAAUUUCAUUGGGCCCCUAAUAUAUUGUUCAGGCUUCACCCUUGAUACUGAUGUUGACUAUUUUAGAGUAUGUGUCUUCUUUAAUAGGGUUAAAUUAUAUAUUUAUAUAAUAUAGUUAUUGUUUAUGGACGUGACAUCGUAACUAGGUUCUUAUGCAUGUCAACAUAUAUCCUAUUUUAAGGUUAACACGUAUUUUUAAAUAUGAAUUCACCUAUAUAAUGGUAUGAACCAUCAUGCAGUCUCAUAAAAUAUGCGAAUAUAUGUCGUGCGAACACAAAGUACAAACCACACAGAAUACGAAUUAAGACCCAAUUGAAUAAUCGGAUACGAAUCAGUAAUAAUGAAUUUCAUAACAGCCACCAACCCCUCUUUUGUUUUAAUUUAUUUUAUUUCCAGUAAGUUAUUGUUUGUGAUAAUUCACAACAAAUGCUUUUGUCAUUAUUUUGUUGGUAAAUAAUAAUAAGAUUAAACUUUACUUUCUUAAGCUCCUUCAAUUCUUUGGAAGUUGGUGGUUUUUUAUUCUAAUCUUAUUUUUUUUAUUAAUUUCUUUUUUUAUAAUAAAUGUGUUUAUAGAUCAGGUUGGAUUAUAAUUGAAUCAUUGUCUGGUAUUAACAUAAUUUAUAUCGAUUAAAAUUUAUUCGACUGGAAAUAUAAAUUUAAAAUUUUACUUCAAUUUAUCUUAAUUUAUAAAUUGUGAAUUUAAAUUUAUUUAUUUUCUCUCAUUAUAUUCAGUUUUUCGGAUCAUAUUUGGCCCAGAACAAAAACUAGAACAAAAAAACAAAUAUAUAUGUUUUCCAAAAAUUAAAUUGUUAACUUCAAAAAAAUAUAUUUUUAGCUAUUUAUCAUCAUAGAGAAAAACAAAUAAGGUCACCUCGCCUUAUGCUUCAACACCUCAACCUAGAUUCUCAUCACCUGUAUUUAUCAUCGAUUCAGAUUUUUAUUUUUACUAUAUUCUAGAUCUACCUAUAAAUAUAUCUUCAAACUUCCUCUGGUUAAGUUCAUUCAUAGAUAGGUGAGUAAACUUGAGCUUCAGCUUCAACAAACACCUUAGUUUGAAGACACAAUUCUCUCAUACUAAAAAUAUGGAAGUUUACCAUGUAAUUAGAGAUUUGGUCUCAUUGCUUGUUGUUGGUUUAUUAAUGAUAUGGGGAUGGAGAGCUUUAAACUGGGUAUGGUUGGCCCCAAAGAGGCUCGAAAGGUGCUUGAGACAACAGGGUUUUGCAGGGAAUCCUUACAGGUUCCUUUCUGGUGACAUAAAAGAGCUCUCAACUAUGAGCAGACAAACAAGAGCCAAACCUAUGCCUCUUAGUGAUGAUAUUGGGCCUUAUGUUGCUCCUUUUCUUCAUCAAACUGUCAACCAGUAUGGUAUGUUUAAUUAUUAUUUAAUCUUCAAUUUAUGAUAAUUCUUUGUUAUUUAUGAAUGGAAUUUAUUGGGAGGAAAUGCAGGAAAGAAUUCAUUUACGUGGAUUGGUCCAAGACAAAGGGUGAACAUUAUGGACCCUGAAAAAAUAAGAGAAAUAUUUACCAAAUUUAAUGACUUCCAGAAGGUGCGUACCAAUCCACUGCUUACUUUGCUUGUAAGCGGCCUUGUUAACCUCGAAGGAGACCGAUGGAGCAAACAUAGAAAAAUCAUAAACCCUUCAUUUCAUCAAGAUAAGUUGAAGGUAUAGAAUAGUGAUGGGUACUUAAGACUUAAUUUACAGAAAACAUGAUACUUAAAUCUAUGCUUUUCUGAUUUAGAAAUGAUUGGAUGCAGAAUAUGUUGCCAGCAUUUUAUCAAAGUUGUUGUGACAUGUUAAGCAAAUGGGAGAAGAUGGUGUGUACAGAAGGAUACAGUGAGUUAGAUGUGUGGCCUUAUCUUGUAGAUUUGACAAGAGAUGUGAUUUCCCGAUCUGCUUUUGGAAGCAGCUUCGAAGAAGGCAGACGAAUUUUCCAAUUACUAGAUGACCAACUCGUUCUCAGAAUCAAAUUACUACAAACUGUUUACAUUCCAGGAUGGAGGUAACCCUCAAUUUACUUGAAAAAGGUUGCAAAUGUUGGAAUUGGCUAAAUUCGUGUUUGUUUCCUUAAAGGUUUUUGCCCACAAAGACAAACAGGGAGGUGAAGAUGAAACACAAAGACAUAAAAGAGUCGCUCAGGGAAAUGAUAAAAAGAAGAGAGCAGGCAAUUAAAGCAGGGGAAGAGAGCAAUGAGGACUUGUUGGACAUACUUGUGGAAUCCAAUAUCAGAGAAAUGGAAGCAAAGAAAAAGGGGAUGAGCAUUGAGGAUGUGAUUGAGGAAUGCAAGCUGUUUUACUUUGCUGGCCAGGAGACCACUUCGGUCUUGCUGGUGUGGACUAUGGUUUUAUUAGCAAGGUAUCCCGAUUGGCAAAGUAAAGCAAGAGAGGAGGUUUUGCAUGUUUUGGGUGACAGUAAACCUGAUGCUGAUGGCCUUAAUCGCCUCAAAGUUGUAAGUCCCUAGCAUGUCUUUUGAAGGUCCGAUCAAUAAGGUCGACAACUCAAAAAUUUGGUUUCUUUUUUCGCUAAUUCUACAGUUAACAAUGAUAUUGUACGAGGUUCUAAGGCUGUACCCAUCAGCGACUGAGCUAGGACGUUCCGUUCCAAAAGAAAUAAAACUGGGAAAUUUGUUGUUACCAGCAGGAACAGAAAUUUCGGUUCCGAUCCUGCUGAUCCACCAUGACAAAGAUCUUUGGGGCGAUGACGCACGGGAAUUUAAGCCAGAGCGGUUCGCGGAAGGGGUUUCCAAAGCAACAAAGAGUCAAGUCACGUUUCUGCCAUUCGGAUGGGGUCCUAGGAUCUGCAUUGCCCAGAAUUUUGCUAUGAUGGAAGCCAAAAUGGCGGUGGCCAUGAUUCUCCAACGCUUCUGGUUCGAGCUUUCCCCUUCCUAUGCUCACUCUCCUUGCAG
rnacentral:lncRNA from 1 species